AUUGAAACUUUGACUUUUGUUGGAAUCUUGAUCAGUUCUUUGUUUGUUUUAUUUAUUUCAUUGAAGAGCAAAUUGCAUCUAUAGACUUUCGGCGCACUGUAGAUGAAAUUUUAUUACAAAUUAUAUGUCUCAGUGCGAAGUCUUGUUUUGUUGAAUUAGCACUACAUUUCAUCUACAAGCAUAACGUAAUUUGAUGCACCUUUGCUGUUUUUGUAAGAACUAAGAAUCAAAUGGACACAAGAACUAAGAAAAUGAACCUGGAAGAGGAAGAAAAUUACGAAUCGAUCAAACGACAACGAGCGAACGCAAAGCGAUGAAAUUUUAUUACAAAUUAUAUGUCUCAGUGCGAAGUCUUGUUUUGUUGAAUUAGCACUACAUUUCAUCUACAAGCAUAACGUAAUUUGAUGCACCUUUGCUGUUUUUGUAAGAACUAAGAAUCAAAUGGACACAAGAACUAAGAAAAUGAACCUGGAAGAGGAAGAAAAUUACGAAUCGAUCAAACGACAACGAGCGAACGCAAAGCGUAAGUUUACACGAAAAUGUAACGCGUUUCAGGAACUAAGUCACAAUAAGGAACAUAUUUUGGUGAUAAAGGAGAAAUUUGAAGAUAUUCGAGAGAUAUAUAAAGAAAUUGAUAAGUGUAAUGAUCGACUAUUGCAUGUUAUAAAUAGAACUGCUUCGCACGGUACAAUGAACAAUCUUCUGGAUGAGGCCGACGCAU